CGCUGGCGGCGUGCCUAAUACAUGCAAGUCGAACGGUCUUUCUAUGGAAGCUUGCUUCCACUGAGAAGAUAGUGGCGAACGGGUGAGUAACACGUGGGUAACCUGCCCAUAAGAGGGGGGAUAACAUCCGGAAACGGGUGCUAAUACCGCAUAGUUUUCUUGAUCGCAUGAUCGGAAAGGAAAGACGGCCUUUGUGCUGUCGCUUAUGGAUGGACCCGCGGCGUAUUAGUUAGUUGGUGAGGUAACGGCUCACCAAGACGAUGAUACGUAGCCGACCUGAGAGGGUGAUCGGCCACAUUGGGACUGAGACACGGCCCAAACUCCUACGGGAGGCAGCAGUAGGGAAUCUUCCGCAAUGGACGAAAGUCUGACGGAGCAACGCCGCGUGAGUGAAGAAAAGGUUUUCGGAUCGUAAAACUCUGUUGUCAGAGAAGAACAAGUUGGAGAGUAACUGCUCCAGCCUUGACGGUAUCUGACCAGAAAGCCACGGCUAACUACGUGCCAGCAGCCGC
rnacentral:rRNA from 1 species